UGGCGCACGGGUGAGUAACGCGUGGGAACGUGCCCUUCAGUACGGGACAACGUCGGGAAACUGACGCUAAUACCGUAUAAUGUCUUCGGACCAAAGAUUUAUCGCUGGAGGAUCGGCCCGCGUCUGAUUAGGUAGUUGGUGGGGUAAUGGCCUACCAAGCCUACGAUCAGUAGCUGGUCUGAGAGGAUGAUCAGCCACACUGGGACUGAGACACGGCCCAGACUCCUACGGGAGGCAGCAGUGAGGAAUAUUGGACAAUAGGCGAAAGCCUGAUCCAGCCAUGCCGCGUGAGUGAUGAAGGCCCUAGGGUUGUAAAGCUCUUUCGACGGGGAUGAUAAUGACCGUACCCGUAGAAGAAGCCACGGCUAAAUUCGUGCCAGCAGCCGCGGUAAUACGAAUGUGGCAAGCGUUGUUCGGAAUCACUGGGCGUAAAGAAUGCGUAGGCGGCUUGACAAGUCAGGAGUGAAAUCCCAGGGCUCAACCCUGGAACUGCUCUUGAAACUGUCGAGCUAGUGUCCCGGAGGGGUUGACGGAAUUCCGAGUGUAGAGGUGAAAUUCGCAGAUAUUCGGAGGAACACCAGUGGCGUAAGCGGUCAACUGGACGGGCACAGACGCUGAGGCAUGAAAGUGUGGGGAGCAAACAGGAUUAGAUACCCUGGUAGUCCACACCGUAAACGAUGUGUGCUAGUUGUCGGGCAGCUUAGCUGUUCGGUGACGGAGCUAACGUUUUAAGCACACCGCCUGGGAAGUACGGCCGCAAGGUUAAAACUCAAAGGAAUUGACGGGGACCCGCACAAGCGGUGGAACAUGUUCUUUAAUUCGUAGCAACGCGAAGAACCUUACCUACCCUUGACA
rnacentral:rRNA from 1 species